GAUGAACGCUGGCGGCGUGCUUAACACAUGCAAGUCGAACGGAGAGGCCCAAGCUUGCUUGGGUACUCGAGUGGCGAACGGGUGAGUAACACGUGGGUGAUCUGCCCUGCACUUCGGGAUAAGCCUGGGAAACUGGGUCUAAUACCGGAUAGGACGAUGGUUUGGAUGCCAUUGUGGAAAGUUUUUUCGGUGUGGGAUGAGCUCGCGGCCUAUCAGCUUGUUGGUGGGGUAAUGGCCUACCAAGGCGUCGACGGGUAGCCGGCCUGAGAGGGUGUACGGCCACAUUGGGACUGAGAUACGGCCCAGACUCCUACGGGAGGCAGCAGUGGGGAAUAUUGCACAAUGGGCGCAAGCCUGAUGCAGCGACGCCGCGUGGGGGAUGACGGCCUUCGGGUUGUAAACUCCUUUCGCUAGGGACGAAGCGUUUUUGUGACGGUACCUGGAGAAGAAGCACCGGCUAACUACGUG
rnacentral:rRNA from 1 species